UUGAAAGGGAAACGAUUGAAGUCAGUCGUACCGACGAGAAAUCAGCCCUUCGAGUGCGAACUUGUGGGCGUGCGUGAGUCUUUAACGGGCCUCGCUGUUUGCAAUUUUGUGCUUUUUGAGUGUACUUUUUCGUAUGGUAGGCCAACGUCAGUUUCGAUUAUCAUAAAAUGACUGGAGGAAUGUAGCUUCGAUCUCGUAUUGAAGUGUUAUAGCCUUUGGUAGAUGUGAUGUUUGAGACCGAGGAUUGCAACGGAUACCCUUCAGGGCUAUUCGUCUGAUCUCUGAUACGUUGCCUUGAUGUUGAAAGCUUGCUUAUGAUGUUAGGGUAUUACGGUCAAAAGGUUAGAACGAAUUACAUUCGUUAAGGAUGUUGACGUA
rnacentral:rRNA from 1 species